GGAGUUCCCAUCACGGCGCAGUGGUUAACGAAUUCGACUAGCAACCAUGAGGUUGCGGGUUCGGUCCCUGCCCUUGCUCAGUGGGUUAACCAUCUGGCGUUGCCAUGAAUUGUGGUGUAGGUCGCAGACACGGCUCGGAUCCCGAGUUACUGUGUCUCUGGCGUAGGCCAGUGGCUACAGCUCCGAUUUGAUCCCUAGCCUGGGAACCUCCAUAUGCCGUGGGAGUGGCCCAAGAAAUGGCAAAAAACAAAGAAAAGAAAAGGGAAUGAGGUAAAUUUUCUUCUGUUGAAGAGCUGGCUUGCGUAUUUUGCAAAUAGUUGAUGUUGGGCAUUACAUCACUGUGAUUCCAAUUGAUGUCUUAAUAUAAGUGUUUUGUUUUUUUUUUUGGUCUUUUUUUUUUUAUUUUAGGGCUGCACUAGCAGCAUAUGGAAGUUGCCAGGCUAGGGGUCAGGCAGAGCUGUAGCUGCAGGCCUACACCACAGCCACAGCAACUCUGGAUCCAAGCCACGUCUGUGACCUACACCACAGCUCACGGCAACGCCUGAUCCUCAAUCCACUGAGUGAGACCAGGGAUGGAACCUGCAUCAUCAUGGAUGCUAGUCAGAUUUGUUUCUACUGAGCCAGGACAGGAACUCCUAAUAUAAGUUUUUUUUGGUUUGCUUUUGUUUUUGGCUUCAUCUGUGGCAUGUGGACAUUCCUGGGACAGAAAUAGAACCGAUGCCAGCAGUGACAACACUGGAUCCUUAACCUGCUGAGUCACCGGGGAGCUCCAGUAGAAGUUUAAUUUUAAAUAUCAGCAUUUCCAAUAUACCAGAAAUCACAGCCUUUGCAACUGGUUAAACCUGGUUGGAGAAAAAAAAUUUAAUUUCAAAAUUUCAAGAGAAUACGUGGUUUUGUAAAACCAAAUUUAUUAUGGGGUACAUAAUUGAAAAUUUUUGUUUCAAGUGUGCAUGAGCUAAAUUAUUGAAAGACUACUGCCUUGAAGGAUGGGCUGGAUUUGGCUUGGUAGAGAAGGAGGAGGAGAAAGGCACUGUGGGUAGCAAGGAGCGAGAGAAGAUGGAAGCAGAAAGAGGGUGUGUUCAGGGAACUCCUGUUGGAGGGGAGUAAUCUGAGAUAAACUGGAAAGGUAGGUUGAGGUCAGACGAAUAGUUACUAGGCUUAGGCAUUUCUGCUGCUUGUUAAUUUUAAUGAUGCAAGUUGUGUAUGUUUAUAAUCUCCUUAAACAAAAGCAGAACAUUAUGGAGCAGCUUGGGGCCAUCUUCUCCAUUUCUGGCCCCCUCCCUACCUCCCCAGAGGUGACCUUGGUUUUCAGUUUGGUGUUGGCUCUUUCAGAUGAGUUUCCAUGGGGUCACACACAUGCUGCAGGUUUCUCUCUCUCUGUUUUUUUUUUUUUUUGCUUUUUUAAAAAAUAUUUAUUCCUCCAAUACAAUUUUUUUUUCUACUGUACAGCAUGGUGACCCGGUUACACAUACAUGUACACAUUCUAUUUUUGCACAUUAUCAUGCUCCAUCAUAAGCGACUGGACAUAGUUCCCAGUGCUACACAGCAAGAUCUCAUUGCUAAUCCGUUCUAAAGGCAAUAGUUUGUAUCUGUUAACCCCAAGCUCCCCAACCACCCCACUCCCUCCCCUCCCCUCUUGGCAACCACAAGUCUAUUCUGCAAGUCCAUGAUUUUCUUUUCUGUGGAAACUUUUUUUUAAACUCAGUUUUAUUAUAUUUAUAGUUGUACAACCAUCAUCGAAACCCAGUUUUAUAGCAUUUCCAUCCCAAACCCCCAGCCCGUCUCUUCCCCCUGCAACCUGUCUCCUUUGGUAAUUGUAAGUUUUUCAAAGUCUGUGAGUGAGUUUCUGUUCUGGAAAUAAGUUCAUUGUAUCCUUUUUUUAGAUGAUAUAAGUGAUAGCAUAUGACUUUGGUGUCUGUCUAACUUCACUUAGCGUGAUAAUUUCUAGUUGUUGCAAAUGCCAUUAUUUUCUUCCUUUUUAUGGCUGAGUAAUAUUCCAUCGUGUAUUUGUAUCACAUCUUCUUUAUCCACUCCUCUAUCAAUGGACUUUUAGGUUGCUUCCAUGUCUUAGCUGUUGUAUAUAGUGCUGCAACAAAUUUUGGGGUACAUGUAUCUUUUGGUGUCAUGGUUUCUCUGGAUAGAUGCCAGACAAAUUUCCAUACUGUUUUCCAUAGCGGUUGCACCAAUUUACAUUCCCAACAGUGUUAAGAGGGUUUCCUUUUCUCCACACCCUCUUCAGCAUUUACUGUUUGCAGACUUUUUUGAUGAUGGCCAUUCUGGCUGGUGUAAGGUGGUACCUCAUAGUAGUUUUGAUUUGCAUUUCCCUAAUAAUUAGUGAUGUUGACCAUCUUUUCAUGUGUUUUUUGCCAUUUGUAUGUCUUCUUUGGAAAACUGUUUGUUCAGAUCUUUUGCCCAUUUGUUAUGGAGUGCUGCAGGUCUCUUCAUGAGAUGACACCAGGCUGGGAAGUUUCAGCUUUAUCUUGGGGUCAGUAGCAGCUGCCGUCUUGGGAGAAUAAGGCCCCAAUGUUAGUCAUAUUUCUGGUUUUUCAAAAGACCAGAAAGUGGAGUUUUGUGUGAAAUCUCUCCAGACUGGCUCUAAACUUUCUUGAGUGCUGUGCUUGCCAAAGAAGGCAUGUGUCUGCAGAAUGCACUUGGCCUGUGGGCUGCUAUUUUGUGAUCUCUUCUUUAAGGUGUCUUGCCUGAAGGCAGAACACUGGCUCAUCAUGUCAUCUCUUAGCAUGAUGCUCAGCACUGAGAUCUAAGUGGUUGUGGGGGAUUCCAGGCUUCUUAGGGAGAUGCUGUGGGAAUGGAUGACUUCCCUCUCCGCGUCCAGUUCCCACCUGCUUUCCAACAUCCAGCUAGUGAUAGAGCUCUGCCAGGAAUUUGGGGGCUUAGCAGAAGGUUCGAGAAUCAUCCUUAUAAAUUCAGGAAGUCAACCAAUCUAGCCUUACUAGAAGGCAAGACUCCAGGGAGUUGGACCUAAGGCCUCCAAGUGUCCUCUCAGGCACUGGGGCGGGUCCUUACGCCUCUCUCAGGACACAGCCCAGUGGGAACGUAGACUGGUGACUGUUUCUCAAAGGGCUUUGUUCUGUGACUAAAGCCAAGCAAGGCAGUCAGACAAAAAUGAAAACACACACACACUGCCCCCAACACUUCAAGACCUUUUCCCACGCAGUCCCAGGGCAGCCGGAAGGGCAGCUGGUCAUGGGAAUGGACCCUAGGUCCCCUCCCCCAGUGGAUGCUCCAUCCUGCUCCAUUCACUCCUGGCCACGUAACCCCUGGCCCCCUCCGCCUCUUACUACUUCCAGGGAAGGAAAUAGCUGAACAAUGCGGCAGAUCAGAGCCUGGGCACCAAGCCCAGGGCCCGGGACUGGUCCUUGGCAGGCUGUGGGCUCCCACCCCUGGCCGCCCUUCUCCACUGCACACCCCGCCACUCAGUUGGUUUCUUUGAAGGUUAGUCUUCCUCAGGCCUCUCUACCUUCUCCCCAUCCCUAUGGGACUUUUUUUUUUUUUUUGGUGCCGAGCCUGCAGCAUAUGGAGGUUUCCAGGCUAGGGGUCUAAUCAGAGUCGUAGUUGUUGGCCCACAGCUGCGGCCACAGCAACACCAGAUCCAAGUCGCAUCCUCGACCUACACCACAGCUCACGGCAAUGCUGGAUCCUUAACCCACUGAGAGUGGCCAGGAAUCAAACCCGCAACCUCAUGGUUCCUAGUCAGAUUCGUUUCCCCUGAGCCAUGACAGGAACUCCAAACUUCAGAUGGCUGAUACUCUCCCCCUACCUACUGCGUGGUAGCCACUGGUGUCCAUACUUCCACUUAGGUAUAAUUCCUAGUAUGAGGGGCUGAAGCGCGUUAAGAGAGAUUUGGCCAAUGAGGAUGGGUGGAAAGAAAGUGUUUUUUCUAAAGUUAUUCCCUAGAGGUGAAAGCAGGUCCUGAGAAUGAAGACUGUGCUGGAACAGUGUGUCCUGAGGUCUCAUUCUCUCCUUCUGACAGAGCUGUCUCAGCCUGGGCUGGAGGGGGUGGAAGUGUUCGCAGGCCUGUGGGUCACUAGUUAUUUCCAGUUUCCAGGGGCUGGGAAUUUGGUGGGAACCACAACUUUUGUUUUUCCUGUUGGUCUCAAAUAAUGUUCUGCCUGGGCCCGGAACCCCACGCCCCAGGCAGGCAGUCCUGGCCUUUGCUGGCUCGCUCCCUCCUAGUGCUUUCAACUGCCUCGCCUUCCGCCAGGCAUUUCCUGUCCCAGGAGCCAAGGGGCAGGGCUCCUCACAAAUCUCCUGUAUCGUCUAAACUCCAGUCUGGCCUCUCUUCCCUGGGUCCUGACUCUGGGAAUGGGAUAGGAGCAGCACACUGGGCAGGUGACAGCAGGCUUACCUGCUGCCACAGCCAGUGUGGCUCCAAAACGUAUGGUGAGAUGAGCCCUGAAUCUCAGUGGCUUUCCCUUGACAUUUGGUUUUGCCCUGGCAGUAAUUUCUGGCCCUGGGUAGCUCAACCAUCCACACAUGGUCACUUGAAAACCUAAAACAUCUUGGGAGUAGGAGAGUCCUCAUGAGCCUGCUCUCAACCUCUCACGUUAGGUAAGAAACAAAGAGCAGGGGUGCCCUUACCCCAGAUCAACAGCCAGGCAAAGCAGGGAAUUGGGACUCUCAGGUUUUUUGACUCUUAGACAAUGUCUCUCUGUCAUCUCCUACAACUUUCAAAGGCAGUUUUGGUAUAACCCUGGACAGAAUGGAAGAGCAAUGCCAGUCUCUUGGUAUCCUGAUCUUGUUAGGCUGUUUCCAAACCUUUUUAUUUCC
rnacentral:lncRNA from 1 species